UGAGGGAUAUUGCACAAUGGGGGCAACCCUGAUGCAGCGACGCCGCGUGGGUGAUGAAGGUCUUCGGAUCGUAAAACCCUUUUCCCCGUGACGAGACAGGACGGUAGCGGGGGAAUAAGCCUCGGCUAACUACGUGCCAGCAGCCGCGGUAAAACGUAGGAGGCGAGCGUUAUCCGGAGUUACUGGGCGUAAAGCGUGCGUAGGCGGUGCGGUAAGUGACUUGUGAAAAUGCCCGGCUAAACUGGGCGAGGUCAGGUCAGACUGCCGUGCUAGAGGGUGGUAGAGGAGCGCGGAAUUCGGGGUGUAGCGGUGAAAUGUGUAGAGAUCCCGAGGAACACCAGUGGUGCAAACGGCGCUCUGGGCCACUACUGACGCUGAGGCACGAAAGCGUGGGGAGCGA
rnacentral:rRNA from 1 species